AUUGAACGCUGGCGGCAGGCUUAACACAUGCAAGUCGAGCGGAGAUGAGGUGCUUGCACCUUAUCUUAGCGGCGGACGGGUGAGUAAUGCUUAGGAAUCUGCCUAUUAGUGGGGGACAACAUUCCGAAAGGAAUGCUAAUACCGCAUACGCCCUACAGGGGAAAGCAGGGGAUCUUCGGACCUUGCGCUAAUAGAUGAGCCUAAGUCCGAUUAGCUAGUUGGUGGGGUAAAGGCCUACCAAGGCGACGAUCUGUAGCGGGUCUGAGAGGAUGAUCCGCCACACUGGGACUGAGACACGGCCCAGACUCCUACGGGAGGCAGCAGUGGGGAAUAUUGGACAAUGGGCGGAAGCCUGAUCCAGCCAUGCCGCGUGUGUGAAGAAGGCCUUUUGGUUGUAAAGCACUUUAAGCGAGGAGGAGGCUACCUGGAUUAAUACUCUAGGAUAGUGGACGUUACUCGCAGAAUAAGCACCGGCUAACUCUGUGCCAGCCGCCGCGGUAAUAC
rnacentral:rRNA from 1 species